rnacentral:rRNA from 1 species
GUGUCAGCAGCCGCGGUAAUACCUGCAGCUCAAGUGGUGGCCGCUAUUAUUGGGCCUAAAACGUCCGUAGCCGGUUCUAUAAAUGCCUGGGUAAAUCGUACGGCUUAACCGUACGAAUUCCGGGUAGACUGUUCAACUUGGGACCGGGAGAGGCUAGAGGUACUCCUGGGGUAGAGGUGAAAUUCUGUAAUCCUAGGGGGACCACCAGUGGCGAAGGCGUCUAGCUAGAACGGGUCUGACGGUGAGGGACGAAGCCCUGGGGAGCAAACGGGAUUAGAAACCCGCGUAGUCC